UGAAUCGUCGGUAGACGAGUUCCUAUAAAUUGUCGUCAUUAAUAACGACAGGCACCAUCAGAGCAGUCCCGUUCUUCAGAGUCUCUGGAGGAACUGAAGCAAGACCAUGAUUCGCGCAAGCCUCUUCAUGCUUCUUGCCCUGGCCACCGUCUCUCAGGCAUACCCCCCUUUUAGGUUCCGGUACCUGAAAACGAAAGGCGUCCCUCCACGGGGCGAUCGACGACCCACCACUAAGCCACCUCCGAAAUUUGACACCGCACCGGAAACUUCCUUUCUCAUGCCGGUAGUCUCUGUCGGUCCCGUGACACCACCAUUUGCGCCCGUUGUCCCAGGACCAUUGCCGUUGGCGCUGAUACCACCGACGACGUCAUUCGUGGCGGCGAAUCCGCCAACGACGUCCUUCAUAGCGGCGAAUCCGCCGGCCAUUAUACCAGCGACGUCCGUCGUAGCAGCACCAACUCCCUUUCUGGGCACAGUCACUCGACCCGAGAACCUCACCCUUACGUCGAGGCUCUCAUCGGGACCGAGCGUGACGACCACGGUGUUCCGGGCCCCCGGCGGCGUCUCGGCCACCAGCGUGCAGCGCGUUGAGGGCUCGUCCACCGCCUUCUUCCGCGAAGCGGACACCCUGAUGAAGGUCAAGCCCAAGCCAGUCGGCAUCCUCGUUCCAGCAGUUGGCACCGUUCCCCAAGUCGUCCAAGCCGUCCGACCUAUUACGCGCAGGCCCCCGAUCAGCAGCUACCUCUUUUACGGAAAAUAAAAUCGCAGUGAGUUACUGCGGUUGAUGACUUGCA